rnacentral:rRNA from 1 species
AUGAUCCAAUCCUGGCUUGGUCUGGUUGGCUUGGACCCCGACUCUUGGAGCGCGCUUGUUUCGAUCAAGGAGUGGUGGUCCUCCUUGUGCCUUCCUGCUGGUAGACGGCGCCGUGCUUUGUCCUCCCUCCUUCUGCUUGUCGUGUGGGAGCUGUGGAACAAGAGCAAUGCUCGCGUCUUCCAUGGAAUCUCCUCCAUGCCUUCUGCGGUCUUCGCCAAAAUCAAGCAUGAGGCUUCCCUUUGGGGUUUGGACGGUGCUAAGCACUUGAGAACUUUGAUGCCGCGAGAGUAG